CUGGGUUGUAUUUUAAAAUUUAUGCAACACAUUUCCCUUAUGUAUCCAUUGCAAGUAUACAAAACACAGUAGCCUACAGACGUCGCUUUUGCAUUUUAGAUUCAGCUUUGACGAGUCAUACAGUAUUAACCUUUCACUGCCCAGUUUUAUCUGUCCAUAUCACAUAAACAUGCUGUUCUCCCAUCUGUGAUGAUGAUGUUCAUGUUUACAUUUGAAUUACUGGUUAUUUCCAUAGCAACACGAAGGCAGCUUCAGUGGUACUUCAUGGGCACUGUACAGAGAACAUUAGGCAGUGCCUGAUGACCCUGUGGAUUUAUUAUAAGCACUCAAAUGGGACUCCAUGUAAGAUUAUAUUCAUUGUUACUUACUGAAUUAUUUAUCUCUAAUAAUUUGAAGUCUGUCAUAAUCUAUUUAUUUUUGUUCCCAAUCAAAGAAAUGUUUGUAAAUCAGUUCACGUUCUUUAGUUAUGAAGCAGUUUUACAUUGUAAUCAAAAAGUCAGAUAAUUAGUUUCUUCAUUAACUCACAAUGCUCUUGUGAAAAUAUCUUUAUAUGCUCGUCUUAACAUUGUGAAAUCCUUUCUAACUGGAAAAUUACCUGCUGUAGAUCCACAUCUAACCUGCCUAUCCAUUUACGAUAUACUGACUUUUGUAUGUGAAAGUUAAAGCAAUAGCUUUUUUUAAACUUCCAUGAGGAGACCGAAGACCGGGUCUGUCUGUUUGAAUAUGUCUGUGUGUGCAAGGAUAAUCAUGUACUGAUUUGAGGACAGAAAUGUGGUUCUCUUUCGUGGGUUAUUUUGUUGUUUCCACCAUAAAGCAGAUUCAGUCGGGGCUGCACGCAACACCUGAGAAAAGAGCGUUAACCUGUGUAUUUUCUUUUGUCAUACCCGCAUGAGGGACCUUAAUGUGCCAUAGCCUACCCAUUCUUUCCAAAAUACUCAAUUUUAUCUUAUUUUUGUUCAUGAAAAAUUAAAAGCCUUGUGAAAGUUUGUCAUGUUGGACUGUAAAUACACUUCAAAUGACACAUUUGGUCAGAGAACUACAAUGAAAGAUCAUUCCAAAGUGUCUCGAGUUGUUCAUGUGUAAGCAGUCCGUGGAUUCAGAUGUGUCCAGUUGUUAAAUUAAUAUACAUGUGAUUUGUAUGACCUCAAAUGAAUUAUCAAUUUGAGACUAUC